rnacentral:rRNA from 1 species
CCUACGGGGUGCUGCAGUGGGGAAUAUUGGACAAUGGGCGAAAGCCUGAUCCAGCCAUGCCGCGUGUGUGAAGAAGGCCUUCGGGUUGUAAAGCACUUUCAGUGGGGAAGAAAGCCUUGGGGCUAAUACCCUCGAGGAAGGACAUCACCCACAGAAGAAGCACCGGCUAACUCCGUGCCAGCAGCCGCGGUAAUACGGAGGGGUGCGAGCGUUAAUCGGAAUUACUGGGCGUAAAGCGCGCGUAGGCGGUCUGAUAAGCCGGUUGUGAAAGCCCCGGGCUCAACCUGGGAACGGCAUCCGGAACUGUCAGGCUAGAGUGCAGGAGAGGAAGGUAGAAUUCCCGGUGUAGCGGUGAAAUGCGUAGAGAUCGGGAGGAAUACCAGUGGCGAAGGCGGCCUUCUGGACUGACACUGACGCUGAGGUGCGAAAGCGUGGGUAGCAAACAGGAUUAGAUACCCGAGUAGUC